rnacentral:lncRNA from 1 species
ACCACCACCACCACCCCCCCAAAAAAAGCAAGGAAGGGAGGGAGGAAGGGAAGGAGGAAUAAAUUGAAGUACAAUAUAAAGUAAGUGUUCCAAAACCUAAGGAACAGCUCACAGUAGUAGAAACUAAAGAUAACAAAAAGCUUUUAUUAGGUACAAUCACCUAAAAACUCAUAAAAUAAACAAUCUGAACUUCAAAUGUAAUUCCACAAUCAUGCCCCCUCCCUUACUCCUUUUCUCUCCUCUCAAUUCAUAUAAAUAUUUAGGAGGCCCAUAGGCAAGGCAGAGAUCAAUUAAAGACUAACCUUGCAGCACUCAAUGAGGAAAGUACUUCAGUGUCAAGAGGGGAACAGGUAAAAUGUCACAGAAAAGAAAUUACCUUUAAGGAUGUUCAGUUAUCUCAAGGCUCUUUCAAGGAUGGUGCCCUAAGCCUCUGGAUCUCUGAAGCACGCCUCUACUAGCACAGCUCUACUUUGAAAAACUGUUAGUCUCCUGGCUAUGGCUCCUGAGGCUUUGAGAGGGUUUAUGUGUGACAUGAAUACACCAACCAUUUUUAAAGAUGCUGGCUGAUCUAAUAAUUGAAAUGAAUUUUCUUUCCUUAAAGACUUUUAUGUUCUGAAAACAAGUCCAAAGGUGAAGAUUUGUAUACGCACAUGUAUGUUUAUAUGCAUUAUCUAUCUAUCUAUCUAUCUAUCUAUCUAUCUAUCUAUCUCAAAUCAGUGUUUCUCAAUCUUGAAAUUUUUCUGCAUUAUAAGAUGUUUUGCAGCAUCCCCGGCCUCUAUUCAACUAGAAUGCCAAUCAAAAUGACUCCAGACAUGAGAAAUUGUCUGGGGAGAAAAAAAUCACCCCCACACUCCUGUCAGAACUAAAGCUCUAGAUAGCUAUUUUUCACAGUCUCACCCAAGUUUGUGUUUUUACAUUUGUCUACAGGCCAAGCUGGCUGCUGUCUCAGACAAUAUGAAUUUCAGGUAGCACUUAAUUCUGAAAAGCCCUGGAAAAUCUUUGCAAGCAAUAGUCAAAAACUGGCUAAUACUACAAAGCAUUUUCUAAUACCCAACGGGGUUCCCUGACAUCUUUUCAAAUUUCUCAGAUACCUGUAAUUUUAUAUCUAUUAACUAUUCAUUUCCUCUAAAUUAUGAAUGAAGAUUUCAGCCUCAGGGCAAAGACACAUUAAAUAAGAUUAAGGCUAUGGUUAGCCUAGUCACUGCUCUCUGUUGACAAGUGAGCUUAGCUGUAACCUUGAAAUUCCUAACUACUAUUCAAUUUUGUCUCCAGGCCAAGAAAGUCUCCAAAAGGACUCAGGAAAACAAACAAACAAAACAAAGAAAACCAACAACCUGAAGCAAGCUUAGAGAUCAGUUACUAAGAGUCUUUCAUCUCAAUGUUCUCUCUAGGACAUCCAAACAAGGAAAGAAACAUAAUCUGAUACAAUUUGGAACUCAGCCAUCAGGUAAAGAAACAAAACAUUCUGGAGCACAACAGAGAGGCGUAACAGCUCACUCCUAAACUGACCCCAUCACCCAGGAGCUACACAGGUGUCUGAGGCUCUGCUCAUCUCCAAUUGGACUUGACACCAAAAGCACAGGCAACAAAGGCAAAAAUAGACAAAUGAAGCUACAUUAAACCUAAACACAUCUGUGCACUGAAGAAUACUUCCUUCAAGAAAAGCUGCAGGUUUUACUGCCCAUGCAAGAAUGUCACCUGUUUUUACCUGUAAAGAAAAAGUACCUGUUUUUACCAGCUACAGUAGCAGCUUUUCAUCAACGAAAGAUCUCCUAGUUGCCUACCUGGUCAUUUUCUAAUGCUUUUAAAUGGUGUUUUUAAUAAUUUCAUGUUGUUUUAUUCUUGAUUUCUGUGGAAAGGAAUUACCUGACUUCCUCACCCUGCUAUUAUCCCAGGACAUAUUAGGAAGGUGGAGCCAAAAAGGAUUUUCUGGCAAACUGGAUGUGGAUACAAAACAAAAACAGUAGUCAAAGAUGAUCCUGAGACUUUCCAUUUGAGCAAGCAGAAGAAUGGAGUUGUCACUGAAGACUAUGAGAAGAACAGACAACUGGAGGAAGGUCUGGAAUUCAGUCUCUGACGUUACAUUUGAGAUGUCCAUUAAACAUUCAAGUAGAUACUGUCAUGGAUGUUUCAGAGAAUGACAGCUGUACUGGCCAGGAGAAUGAAUUAGAUAACCAAUAAGGUUCCCUCAAAAGCUCAGUUUGGAUGAAUUCUACACCCAGAAAUAAAUGGUUCAGUAAUACUUGUUAUCAAAGUUCAGAGAAGCAAAAGCUCACUGAAGCAGGGGAUGAACAAAGAAAAAGGACUUAAAAGAUAAAACUGAGAUGGCCAGGCAAAAGAUGCUACGCAAAGGGACCAAGAAGGAAAAGUAGAAUAGAAGUGUAGAAGAGAGGAGAAAGGAAAAAAAAAGACCAUACUAAUGAAAGAACUGGAAUGUAAGAUUGCACAGUAGCAGGUUUAAGCAAAAUAUGACAAAAAGCCUCUAAAUAAGUCUGCACAGUAUAUAUACGUGACUAUACAUAAUUAAUAUCCAAAGAACAGAUAGGAACUAUACAAAGACUGAAACAGAAGUACUAGAAGAGAUUUUUAGAAGCAAAUAAGAUAGCUUGAGGGUGUACUGAAGCUGAGACUAAGAAUAGGACUUCCAAGCAGAGAUGCCACUGAAGAAAUAGUGCAGUUCUUUAGCAAAUUGGUUAAUUAGAUUAUCAAUUAUAGUUACCAACAUGUCUCUAUGGGAACUAAAGGAAUAAAAAAAAUUUUGUAUCCAUGAUUUCACAUAAGCUUCACCAACUCCUUGAAAAGAACAUACCAAAAUCUGGGUUGUGGAGUUCAAUACGGUUCAGAUAAAAUAAAGAUUAAAAUGUACCAUAAAAGUGGGGGGGAAAUCUUGUCAGACUUGAUAAGCCUAAAAAAAAUAGUAAGAGAUAUCACUAUAAAGAUAACAUUUUAGGUGUUCUUUAGAGAAUAAUUUUCUUUGAUGAGAUGAAAAUGGGGAAAGGAAAUGUAAGCUGGAAGGACCUGGAAAGCGAGAAAUAAAGGUGCUAUGGUAUAUAUCAGCAGAAGGAUCAAUGAGACAAGGAUGGAAGGUGGUAAUCAGCAAAUUCUGAUCUAGUGAAGAAUACUAACUAGAUUAGAAUUCAUAAGACCAGAUCCUAAUUCUCCUAUUAAACUAA